AUUGAACGCUGGCGGCAGGCCUAACACAUGCAAGUCGAACGGUAACAGGGAUCAGCUUGCUGAUUCGCUGACGAGUGGCGGACGGGUGAGUAAUGUCUGGGAAACUGCCUGAUGGAGGGGGAUAACUACUGGAAACGGUAGCUAAUACCGCAUAACGUCGCAAGCCCAAAGAGGGGGACCUUCGGGCCUCUUGCCAUCGGAUGUGCCCAGAUGGGAUUAGCUAGUAGGUGGGGUAACGGCUCACCUAGGCGACGAUCCCUAGCUGGUCUGAGAGGAUGACCAGCCACACUGGAACUGAGACACGGUCCAGACGCCUACGGGAGGCAGCAGUGGGGAAUAUUGCACAAUGGGCGGAAGCCUGAUGCAGCCAUGCCGCGUGUAUGAAGAAGGCCUUCGGGUUGUAAAGUACUUUCAGCGGGGAGGAAGGGAGUAAAGUUAAUACCUUUGCUCAUUGACGUUACCCGCAGAAGAAGCACCGGCUAACUCCGUG
rnacentral:rRNA from 1 species